rnacentral:rRNA from 1 species
UACGAAGGGUGCAAGCGUUACUCGGAAUUACUGGGCGUAAAGCGUGCGUAGGCGGUUCGUUAAGUCUGAUGUGAAAGCCCUGGGCUCAACCUGGGAAUGGCAUUGGAAACUGGCGAUCUAGAGUGCGGUAGAGGGCAGUGGAAUUCCCGGUGUAGCAGUGAAAUGCGUAGAGAUCGGGAGGAACAUCUGUGGCGAAGGCGACUGCCUGGACCAGCACUGACACUGAGGCACGAAAGCGUGGGGAGCAAACAGG